ensembl:lncRNA RPL23AP7 ribosomal protein L23a pseudogene 7
GGGGCUCCUGGCUGUGGGUGUGGUACCGAGGCUUCAGCGGGUGCCGCCCGCCUAGAGGGAGUGGAGCGGUGAGCACGUCAGGGGUGGGGGGCGCAGGUCAAGCUUUCACCAGUUUUUAAUUCUUUGAUGGGGUAAAUUUGAGCAAUUUUCUCGACUUGUCGACAUUCGUUAUUAACUGAGCAGGAAUCAGGAGAGGAACCCGGUCCUCUCCACACAGCCCAGCAGAGAGCCUACGACUAGAUUUGCAUCUUUACGUCCUGCGCGGAGGCUGCUACACACAUGCAGAAGUCAUGCUGGUGGCCUGGACAGUGAAGGGAGAGAAGUGGAUUUGGGAGACAUUUAGGAGGCAGAACUUGGUUUUGCGGUGCAGUAGGGUGCCUGGAGCCGAAAGCCUGACUUCCUCAUACAGGCCAGACCCCACAUGUGACUGCCAGGCCACUUUGAGGCUGAGAGAGAUGGUUUUGUCUGGCCUCUGUCCUGCACGUGUUUACGGAUGACCUCUGUGUUGGCAGAUUUGGGGGUCCGCCAGAUAGGAUCCUGUGAAGAGACCUCAAAGGAACAGUAAGAGGACCUUGUGCAUGAAUAAUUUGUUUCCACACUACAGAGUGGGUAAUAAGCAGAUUAGUAAAAACAAUUCUGCUUCACUUCAAUAACAGCCUCCUCCAACUCAUUUUUUCUCAACAAACUUAUUUUUCCAGCAGAAGAAUCCCAGACUUCUUAGAGAACCCAGUGACUUUUUGCACCUUAAAUCUGUGAAAUCCUCAUGUUUUCUUCUGCCGUAUCCAUAGUUCAAACAAAGAUGAGGCAAAGCUAGAUGCAUUCCUGAAGGAACCCAAGAAAUUCCUCUCUUUAUUUCUCUGGAAUGAAAUGAAUUCUCUAGACCACCAGUUCUAACCUUCAAAAACCAAACCUGUUUGUGAGAUCUCCUUCAAAUACUACUGUAGACCCCAGUGUUUAUUCAUUAAAUUUUUAAAAUAUUUGUUUUAUUUGGAAUCCAUGUAUUUGUAAUUUUAGUGUUUGUAUUAAUAUAAGGGAGAAAUGUUUAAAUCUGUCUAUGCCAUAUGUGCCUCUGGCUUAUUGCCCAAUUAAUUGUAGACUCAGGCUAAACUUUGGUUUCUGUCUUUAAUUUUUGUCAGAAGAAAUAUAACUGAUCUCAAAA